UUUUACACCUUAUUUUAUACAUUACAAUCAAAGGAGGCAUAAGGAAGUUACAUGAAAUUUAUUGUUGAUUGAUUAAGGAGGCCAAGAAAGCAAAGCUGGGGAAUCUCUGGGAUUGGAUAAAAAGUAAAGCAGAGAGA